rnacentral:rRNA from 1 species
AAUGGGCGCAAGCCUGAUCCAGCCAUGCCGCGUGCAGGAUGAAUGCCCUAUGGGUUGUAAACUGCUUUUAUACGGGAAUAAACCCGGGUACGUGUACCCGGCUGAAUGUACCGUAAGAAUAAGGGUCGGCUAACUUCGUGCCAGCAGCCGCGGUAAGACGAAGGACCCAAGCGUUAUCCGGAUUCAUUGGGUUUAAAGGGUGCGUAGGCGGGUUGAUAAGUCAGUGGUGAAAGCCCAACGCUUAACGUUGGAACUGCCAUUGAUACUGUCGAUCUUGAAUGUGUUUGAUGUGGGCGGAAUAUGACAUGUAGCGGUGAAAUGCUUAGAUAUGUCAUAGAACACCGAUUGCGAAGGCAGCUCACAAAACCACUAUUGACGCUGAGGCACGAAAGCGUGGGGAUCAAA